rnacentral:rRNA from 1 species
GAUGAACGCUGGCGGCGUGCCUAAUACAUGCAAGUCGAGCGAACAGACGAGGAGCUUGCUCCUCUGACGUUAGCGGCGGACGGGUGAGUAACACGUGGAUAACCUACCUAUAAGACUGGGAUAACUUCGGGAAACCGGAGCUAAUACCGGAUAAUAUAUUGAACCGCAUGGUUCAAUAGUGAAAGACGGUUUUGCUGUCACUUAUAGAUGGAUCCGCGCCGCAUUAGCUAGUUGGUAAGGUAACGGCUUACCAAGGCAACGAUGCGUAGCCGACCUGAGAGGGUGAUCGGCCACACUGGAACUGAGACACGGUCCAGACUCCUAUGGGAGGCAGCAGUAGGGAAUCUUCCGCAAUGGGCGAAAGCUUGACGGAGCAACGCCGCGUGAGUGAUAAAGGUCUUCGGAUCGUAAAACUCUGUUAUUAGGGAAGAACAAAUGUGUAAGUAACUAUGCACGUCUUGACGGUACCUAAUCAGAAAGCCACGGCUAACUACGUG